CUACAGAGGCAGGCAGGCCUCCUUGAGCUGUGGUGGGCUCCACCCAGUUUGAGCUUCCCAGCUGCUUUGUUUACCUAAGCAAGCCUGGGCAAUGUCGGGUGCCCCUCCCCCAGCCUCACUGCCGCCUUGCAAUUUGAUCUCAGACUGCUGUGCUAGCAAUCAGUGAGACUCCGUGGGCGUAGGACCCUCUGAGCCAGGUGCGGGAUAUAAUCUUGUGGUGCGCCGUUUUUUAAGCCGGUCCGAAAAGCGCAAUAUUCGGGUGGGAGUGACCCGAUUUCCCAGGGCUGUGACCAUCUAUGACAAGCCGGCAUCUUUCUUUAAAGAGACACCUCUGGACCUGCUGCACCGGCUCUUCAUGAAGCUGGGUGGCACUCACUCUCUGUUCAGGGCCUGCUCAGAACCUGAGGACGCAGCCAUGGAGCGGUCGGCCUUCAUGGAGCUGGAUGCUGGGAGCAGGCUGGUGAUGCAUCUCCGCGAGUGGCCAGCCCUGCUGGUCAGCAGCACGGGCUGGACAGAGUUUGAACAACUUACUCUUGAUGGACACAACCUUCCUUCUCUUGUCUGUGUGAUAACAGGGUCGGUGGACCUGGGUGUCUGUCUGCACAUGUCCUCCAGUGGCCUGGACCUGCCCAUGAAGGUGGUGGACAUGUUCGGGUGCUGUUUGCCUGUGUGUGCCGUGAACUUCAAGUGUUUACAUGAGCUGGUGAAACAUGAAGAAAAUGGCCUGGUCUUUGAGGACUCAGAGGAACUGGCAGCUCUGCAGAUGCUUUUCUCAAACUUUCCUGAUCCUGCAGGCAAGCUAAACCAGUUUUGGAAGAACCUGCGGGAGUCGCAGCAGCUCCGAUGGGAUGAGAGCUGGGUGCAGACUGUGCUCCCUUUGGUUAUGGACAUACAACUCCUGGGCCAGAGGCUAAAACCCCGGGACCCCUGCUGUCCUUCCCGCAGCUUCUUCUCGGAGUCUCAGGGCAAACCCUUUUGAGCAGCGCCUCCCAGUGGCCAGAAGCUGAAAUGACGGCAGUGGUGCCGCCUGGUGAAUGAAUUGGUUCUGUGACCCGGGAA